CAAUUUUCAGAUUAGAAUUUCUAACCUCAAUCUAACCUUUCAAGGAAUAAUUAAAAGACAGAGCAGAGUUAGAUAACGGAAAAUCUGAGAAAAAAACACUUAUAAAAAUUCAUCACGUCACUUUUCUAGUACUUUUAUCGAUAAAAAGAACUUGAACGUCCAUUGAGAAGAAUAAAGACGCCGAGGAUGAGAAUUAGACUCGAACUGCAUGGACGACAUUUACAUCGAUUGCAGAAGUUGGAAGGUGUGACGAGAGCCAAUAUUCUGACGUCAUACAGAUUUGAAGGUGGAGAGAGAACAAACUAACUGUAGAGACAUAGAUUUAAUCGACAAUCCCUACUUAGCCUGACUUUUCCCCUCUACUAUUCCUAAAUCAGAGUGUGACGUCAGACUCUAAAAGUCUGGAAUCCCCGUCGAUAACCCUGCAUGCAAGAUAAAAUAAAAUACAAGAGGCAGCAAACUUACGAAUUCUGUGUGGAUCGAGCAAUUACCACGGGUCCCGUAAAGUCAACGUGAUCGACUUCCGCCAAGUGGCGGUUCGGUUCCCAUGGCGAAGAUUCCUACCAAGCUUUUGUUCAUGCGGAGAAAGA